GAAACCAACAGGGAUUGCCUUAGUAGCGGCGAGUGAAGCGGCAAAAGCUCAAAUUUGAAAUCUGGCGCCUUCGGUGUCCGAGUUGUAAUUUGAAGAUUGUAACCUUGGGGUUGGCUCUUGUCUAUGUUUCUUGGAACAGGACGUCACAGAGGGUGAGAAUCCCGUGCGAUGAGAUGCCCAAUUCUAUGUAAGGUGCUUUCGAAGAGUCGAGUUGUUUGGGAAUGCAGCUCUAAGUGGGUGGUAAAUUCCAUCUAAAGCUAAAUAUUGGCGAGAGACCGAUAGCGAACAAGUACAGUGAUGGAAAGAUGAAAAGAACUUUGAAAAGAGAGUGAAAAAGUACGUGAAAAUUGUUGAAAGGGAAGGGUUUGAGAUCAGACUCGAUAUUUUGUGAGCCUUGCCUUCGUGGCGGGGUGACCCGCAGCUUAUCGGGCCAGCAUCGGUUUGGGCGGUAGGAUAAUGGCGUAGGAAUGUGACUUUACUUCGGUGAAGUGUUAUAGCCUGCGUUGAUGCUGCCUGCCUAGACCGAGGACUGCGAUUUAUC
rnacentral:rRNA from 1 species